CUUCGGACUGCUGUGUAUAUCAUUUUGCAACCAAAUAUGCCUUGUGCUUUUGAAUUGUGCCAUCUACAUUGUACUUGGUUUUAUAGAUCCACUUCAAACCAAUCACAUUUCUUCCGUUGGGCAUAUUCACUAACUCUCAAAUUGGAUUGAAAUGCUUGCUCCAAACGCUGAUUUGAGAACCUGCUCAUUCUUCCUUCAUGUGCUUCAAGGGAUCCCAUCAACUCAAAUAUGGCAAACAAGGUGUCUCCACAAUUUGCUGCCAUGGAGACUUGCAGGAGAGUGUUGCUAACUUGAAAAAACUCAAGCGUGGAAUAAGCUUUUGAUACCAAAAUUUCUUGGCGUAUGCAAGAAGCAUGGUGUGAAGUAUAUU